CAGCGACCAAUGAAAAGAAGCAGCGCUUGUUUUGAAAAGCAAUGUUAAAAUUUUUUUUAUAAUGUGAGAAAUAUAAAUCAUGAGUCUAGCACACCUGAAGGAGAGACUGAGCCAGAUUUCAAGGAAACGCUCAGAAGACACCUUCACAUUUGACAUUACAGAAUGCAAGAAUCUUAAGCAUCCGGAGGAGUGGUUAGAGUACAUUCAACAUGUGAAAGAUAAUGUUGGCUUUCCUAAUGAUCUCACUCAACACAAGGUCCUCUCAGACCUCUUUGACAAAGCCUUUCAGGUAUAAUAUUUUUCUCCAGA
rnacentral:lncRNA from 1 species